UGGGGUAAUCAUUUAUAUUUUACAUAGUGGAGUGCCCCCAUUUUGGGAUGAAUUGGAGCAAGGAAUAUUUGAGCAGGUUUUAAGGGGAGAACUCGAUUUUAUCUCUGAACCAUGGCCUAGCAUAUCUGAAAGUGCAAAGGAUCUUAUUCGAAGAAUGCUUGUAAGGAACCCUAAGAAGCGGCUUACGGCCCAUGAAGUUCUUAGUAAGUUAAUGGUCUUGAUUGAUUAUUAUGUCAGGUGACUUAAUUUGUUUAGCAUCCAUAGUCAUACAUCAAUUGUUGACAAUCAUAAUCAUAGUUGUAGUCGUGAUCAUAAUCGAAGUAAUAGACGUGGUCGUGACCAUAAUCAAAGUCGUGGUCGUGGUCGCGAUCGCGGUCGAAGCAAUGUUUGGCAUCGUAAUGGUCAAAAUAAAAAUUCAUAUACUCCAAUGAAAAGCACAACUACUGAGAACAAGGGAAAAGGUCCUCAAAAUAAUAAUCAUAGAAAUUCUGAAAAUUUAUGUUCCAGAUGUGGAAUAAAAGGACAUUGGGCACGUGCCUGUCGUACGGCAAAACACCUUGUUGAUCUUUAUCAAGCAUCCGUGAAAGGAAAGGAGAAAAUAGAAGCAAAUUUUGCCUAUCAAGAUGAUGGUUUUCUCAAAGAGCCUUUGGAUAUUACACACUUAGAUGUUGCAAAUUUUUUUAAUGAAGAUCUCAUUAAUAACAACAUGAAUAUCGAUAAUGGAGAUGGGAAUGUCCACAAUUAGUCACUUUUCUUUGUUAUGUUUUUUUUAUUAUUAUCAUUUAUUUACUUUAAGGUGUUUAUUUUAUUUGGCAUGUAAUGAACUUUUAUUAUUUAAGCAUUUAUAUUUUGAACU